rnacentral:rRNA from 1 species
AGGACGAACGCUGGCGGCGUGCUUAACACAUGCAAGUCGAGCGGAAAGGCCCUUCGGGGUACUCGAGCGGCGAACGGGUGAGUAACACGUGAGCAACCUGCCCUUAGCUUCGGGAUAGCUCCGGGAAACCGGAAUUAAUACCGGAUAUGACUAUGGCCGACAUCAGCCAUGGUGGAAAGUUUUUCGGCUAGGGAUGGACUCGCGGCCUAUCAGCUAGUUGGUGAGGUAACGGCUCACCAAGGCGACGACGGGUAGCCGGCCUGAGAGGGCGACCGGCCACACUGGGACUGAGACACGGCCCAGACUCCUACGGGAGGCAGCAGUGGGGAAUAUUGCGCAAUGGGCGAAAGCCUGACGCAGCGACGCCGCGUGGGGAUGAAUGCCUUCGGGUUGUAACCCCUUUCAGCAGGGACGAAGCGAAGUGACGGUACCUGCAGAAGAAGCGCCGGCUAACUACGUGCCAGCAGCCGC